rnacentral:lncRNA from 10 species
GACAUGUGAGCAGUAAGUUGAUAUAGUCUGAACUGAAAUAUAGAAUGAGAAGGUGACAUGGCUUGACUCUAUGUUUCCACCCAAAUUGUAUGUGAAAUUGUAAUCACCACAUGUUGAAGGAGGAGCCUGGUGGAAGGUCUCUCUCUUGCCACGAUGAGAAGAAGGUCCUUGCUUCCCCUUUGCUUUCCGCUGUGACUGUAAGUUUCCUGUGGCUUCCUGUUAAACCCCAAAAAUGGCUUAUACAAGAGGGAAAUCCUACCAUUUGUGACAAUUUGGGUGACCUGGAAGAUGCUACACUGAAUGAAAUAAGUCAGUCACAGAAGAACAAAUACUGCAUGAUUCCACUUAUGUGAAGUAUCUAAAAUAGCCACACUCAUGGAAGCAGAGAACAGCAUCAUUGUUGCCAAGGGAUGGGGCAAAAGGAA